rnacentral:rRNA from 1 species
UACGGGGGGGGUAAGCGUUGUUCGGAAUUACUGGGCGUAAAGGGCUCGUAGGCGGCCAACUAAGUCAGACGUGAAAUCCCUCAGCUUAACUGGGGAACUGCGUCUGAUACUGGAUGGCUUGGAUUCGGGAGAGGAAUGCGGAAUUCCAGGUGUAGCGGUGAAAUGCGUAGAUAUGCGGAGGAACACCGAUGGCGAAGGCAAUCCCCUGGCCUGCACUGACGCUCAUGCACGAAAGCGUGGGGAGCAAACAGG